rnacentral:rRNA from 1 species
CUGCGCCUCUUAUUUUCAGGUUUGUUUGUUCGACUGCUUAUUGUCUCACAAGGGAAGCGGUUAGCGGCUUGAGGAGAGGGUGACGGGCAUAUAUUGGGAUUUGAAAACACACGGCCCAGACUCCUACGGGAGGCAGCAGUGGGGAAUAUUGCACAAUGGGCGAAAAGCCUGAUGCAGCAACGCCGCGUGAGGGGGACUGACGGCCUUCGGGUUGUAAACCUCUUUUAGUAGGGAAGAAGCGUAAGUGACGGUACCUGCAGAAAAAGCACCGGCUAACUACGUGCCAGCAGCCGCGGUAAUACGUAGGGUGCAAGCGUUGUCCGGAAUUAUUGGGCGUAAAGAGCUCGUAGGCGGUUUGUCGCGUCUGCUGUGAAAUCCCGAGGCUCAACCUCGGGCUUGCAGUGGGUACGGGCAGACUAGAGUGCGGUAGGGGGAGAUUGGAAUUCCUGGUGUAGCGGUGGAAUGCGCAGAUAUCAGGAGGAACACCGAUGGCGAAGGCAGAUCUCUGGGCCGUAACUGACGCUGAGGAGCGAAAAGCGUGGGGAGCGAACAGGAUUAGAUACCCUGGUAGUCCACGCCGUAAACGUUGGGCGCUAGAUGUAGGGACCUUUCCACGGUUUCUGUGUCGUAGCUAACGCAUUAAGCGCCCCGCCUGGGGAGUACGGCCGCAAGGCUAAAACUCAAAGGAAUUGACGGGGGCCCGCACAAGCGGCGGAGCAUGCGGAUUAAUUCGAUGCAACGCGAAGAACCUUACCAAGGCUUGACAUACACCGGAAACGGCCAGAGAUGGUUGCCCCCUUGUGGUCGGUGUACAGGUGGUGCAUGGUUGUCGUCAGCUCGUGUCGUGAGAUGUUGGGUUAAGUCCCGCAACGAGCGCAACCCUCGUUCUAUGUUGCCAGCGCGUUAUGGCGGGGACUCAUAGGAGACUGCCGGGGUCAACUCGGAGGAAGGUGGGGAUGACGUCAAAUCAUCAUGCCCCUUUAUGUCUUGGGCUUCACGCAUGCUACAAUGGCCGGUACAAAGGGCUGCGAUACCGUAAGGUGGAGCGAAUCCCAAAAAGCCCCCGGGUUCCUUCC